rnacentral:lncRNA from 1 species
CCUGUCUAGGCCUUAGACAAUGAGAUAAAGACACCACUGAAGAUACUGGUGGGAAGGACCGACAUCAGAGAAGCAGUGGGUACUGGCGAGUCUACCAUAAAUUCCUGAAAUAAUUUAUGGGAGCACUUUGGGAGGCUGAGAUGGGAGGAUCACUUGAAGCCAGAAGUUUGAAACCAGCCUGGGCCACAUAGGUGCCCCACUGGUACUGGAAAAAAAAAAAAAAAGAUAGUCUUUUGGUUAAAUGUAGUAGAAACCCAAAUUAAACUGGCUUAAGCCUCCUCUUCCUUAAAAGAAGUUUAUUGGUUCAUGGAACUGAAAGGGUUGUGAUGAUUUUUGUCCAAGUUGGAGUCUGAGGGUCUCCAGGACUCCGUAUCACCCCAUCACUUAGUUCUGCUUCCUUCUCUGUUGUCUGCAUUAAUAAGACAUUUAUUUUCUCUAUAGCCACCACCACCCCAUGCUCCAAUGCCAUGGUUUUUAUCUUUCCAGUUUUAAUUCCAGUGGACAAAUUCAUACCAACAAAAGCCACAGGAGUAAGCAGAACUGGGUCUGAUGCCCAUUCCUGAAUCAGUCUUCUUUCUCUGGGUGUGAGAUGGGUUAUGCUGAUCGGCCAGGCCAGGGUGCUGUGCCCAUUGCUAGAACUGGGGCAGGAAUUAAUUCAGCCUGAACAUGCAGUGAGGGUAAAGAGGCUUAAGUUCUUCAGAGAAAAACCGAGGUAUUUUCAUCAGGAACAGAAAGGAGGGGGUCUGGAGAGAACUGGUGUCCUCCCUCUCUAUUCCCGACGGCAGCUCCCAUGAAGCCUUCUCCGAAGACAGAGUGGGCCCACACAGCCUGAGUGUCUGCUCUGUGAUGUACUUCAGGCCAGGCACCACAGCAAAUCAGGGACGCAGAUGGAAACCUCAGUAGGCAUUCUGAGGUCUGGUUUGGGAGAAAAAUUUCAAGAUGCAUUUGUUGAGAAUCCGCUCUUACAGCAGGUCCUAUGGGGAUUACAAGGAGCUGAAUCACACCCAGAUCUCCAGGAACUUAGCAGGGUCAGGGGUGAAGCUAGAGCUGGAGCCAGAAGCUGAGCGGCACCAUAUGCUGGGCUUUCACCAGAUUAUCAACUCACAAUCCCUUCUGGGGCACCGUCUGAUGAAUAUGAAAUGCUUGGAUUUUUUCCUAAGCUAACGAAGGAUUUCAUGUGAGGAGAGGUCAGUGAAUACACGAGGCAGGAUCCCUCUGAGAGCACAUAGUUAGAGGAACUAGGAACUUGCCUUGUAGGAUUUGUCUGAUGAGGGGGAGGUAAAAGAUUAUAUUUGCAUUUCUAAAGGGCUAAGUAGGAA